AGAGUUUGAUCCUGGCUCAGGAUGAACGCUGGCGGCGUGCCUAACACAUGCAAGUCGAGCGAUUCUCUUCGGAGAAGAGCGGCGGACGGGUGAGUAACGCGUGGGUAACCUGCCCUGUACACACGGAUAACAUACCGAAAGGUAUGCUAAUACGAGAUAAUAUGCUUUUAUCGCAUGGUAGAAGUAUCAAAGCUUUUGCGGUACAGGAUGGACCCGCGUCUGAUAGCUAGUUGGUAAGGUAACGGCUUACCAAGGCGACGAUCAGUAGCCGACCUGAGAGGGUGAUCGGCCACAUUGGAACUGAGACACGGUCCAAACUCCUACGGGAGGCAGCAGUGGGGAAUAUUGCACAAUGGGCGAAAGCCUGAUGCAGCAACGCCGCGUGAGCGAUGAAGGCCUUCGGGUCGUAAAGCUCUGUCCUCAAGGAAGAUAAUGACGGUACUUGAGGAGGAAGCCCCGGCUAACUACGUGCCAGCAGCCGCGGUAAUACGUAGGGGGCUAGCGUUAUCCGGAAUUACUGGGCGUAAAGGGUGCGUAGGUGGUUUCUUAAGUCAGAGGUGAAAGGCUACGGCUCAACCGUAGUAAGCCUUUGAAACUGGGAAACUUGAGUGCAGGAGAGGAGAGUGGAAUUCCUAGUGUAGCGGUGAAAUGCGUAGAUAUUAGGAGGAACACCAGUUGCGAAGGCGGCUCUCUGGACUGUAACUGACACUGAGGCACGAAAGCGUGGGGAGCAAACAGGAUUAGAUACCCUGGUAGUCCACGCCGUAAACGAUGAGUACUAGCUGUCGGAGGUUACCCCCUUCGGUGGCGCAGCUAACGCAUUAAGUACUCCGCCUGGGAAGUACGCUCGCAAGAGUGAAACUCAAAGGAAUUGACGGGGACCCGCGCAAGUAGCGGAGCAUGUGGUUUAAUUCGAAGCAACGCGAAGAACCUUACCUAAGCUUGACAUCCUUUUGACCGAUGCCUAAUCGCAUCUUUCCCUUCGGGGACAGAAGUGACAGGUGGUGCAUGGUUGUCGUCAGCUCGUGUCGUGAGAUGUUGGGUUAAGUCCCGCAACGAGCGCAACCCUUGCCUUUAGUUGCCAGCAUUAAGUUGGGCACUCUAGAGGGACUGCCAGGGAUAACCUGGAGGAGGGUGGGGAUGACGUCAAAUCAUCAUGCCCCUUAUGCUUAGGGCUACACACGUGCUACAAUGGGUGGUACAGAGGGCAGCCAAGUCGUGAGGCGGAGCUAAUCCCUUAAAGCCAUUCUCAGUUCGGAUUGUAGGCUGAAACUCGCCUACAUGAAGCUGGAGUUACUAGUAAUCGCAGAUCAGAAUGCUGCGGUGAAUGCGUUCCCGGGUCUUGUACACACCGCCCGUCACACCACGGGAGUUGGGGGCGCCCGAAGCCGGAUUGCUAACCUUUUGGAAGCGUCCGUCGAAGGUGAAAUCAAUAACUGGGGUGAAGUCGUAACAAGGUA
rnacentral:rRNA from 1 species